rnacentral:rRNA from 1 species
GAGUUUGAUCCUGGCUCAGAGUGAACGCUGGCGGUAGGCCUAACACAUGCAAGUCGAACGGCAGCACAGUAAGAGCUUGCUCUUACGGGUGGCGAGUGGCGGACGGGUGAGGAAUACAUCGGAAUCUACUUUUUCGUGGGGGAUAACGUAGGGAAACUUACGCUAAUACCGCAUACGACCUACGGUGAAAGCAGGGGAUCUUCGGACCUUGCGCGAUUGAAUGAGCCGAUGUCGGAUUAGCUAGUUGGCGGGGUAAAGGCCCACCAAGGCGACGAUCCGUAGCUGGUCUGAGAGGAUGAUCAGCCACACUGGAACUGAGACACGGUCCAGACUCCUACGGGAGGCAGCAGUGGGGAAUAUUGGACAAUGGGCGGCAAGCCUGAUCCAGCCAUACCGCGUGGGUGAAGAAGGCCUCGGUUGUAAGACCGUUUCGUUGGUAAGGAAAGUACCACGCCGGCGUAACGUACCUCGGUUGGGUAGUGACGGUACCCG